rnacentral:rRNA from 1 species
AGAACGAACGCUGGCGGCAUGCCUAACACAUGCAAGUCGAACGAAGGCUUCGGCCUUAGUGGCGCACGGGUGCGUAACGCGUGGGAACCUGCCCCUUGGUUCGGAAUAACAGUUAGAAAUGACUGCUAAUACCGGAUGAUGACUUCGGUCCAAAGAUUUAUCGCCGAGGGAUGGGCCCGCGUAGGAUUAGCUUGUUGGUGAGGUAAAAGCUCACCAAGGCGACGAUCCUUAGCUGGUCUGAGAGGAUGAUCAGCCACACUGGGACUGAGACACGGCCCAGACUCCUACGGGAGGCAGCAGUGGGGAAUAUUGGACAAUGGGCGAAAGCCUGAUCCAGCAAUGCCGCGUGAGUGAUGAAGGCCUUAGGUUGUAAAGCUCUUUACCCGGGAUGAUAAUGACAGUACCGGAGAAUAAGCUCCGGCUAACUCCGCGCCAGCAGCC